CAGCUUGUUGGUGGGGUAACGGCCUACCAAGGCAUCGACGGGUAGCUGGUCUGAGAGGAUGAUCAGCCACACUGGGACUGAGACACGGCCCAGACUCCUACGGGAGGCAGCAGUGGGGAAUCUUGCACAAUGGGCGAAAGCCUGAUGCAGCAACGCCGCGUGCGGGAAGAAGGCCCUCGGGUUGUAAACCGCUUUCAGAAGGAACGAAACUGACGGUACUUUCAGAAGAAGGUGCGGCCAACUACGUGCCAGCAGCCGCGGUGACACGUAGGCACCAAGCGUUGUCCGGAUUUAUUGGGCGUAAAGAGCUCGUAGGCGGUUCAGUAAGUCGGGUGUGAAAACUUUGGGCUUAACCCAAAGCGUGCAUCCGAUACUGCUGUGACUUGAGUACGGUAGGGGAGCGGGGAAUUCCUAGUGUAGCGGUGAAAUGCGCAGAUAUUAGGAGGAACACCGGUGGCGAAGGCGCCGCUCUGGGCCGAAACUGA
rnacentral:rRNA from 1 species